UACAGAGGGGGCAAGCGUUGUUCGGAAUUACUGGGCGUAGAGGGCGCGUAGGCGGCCUUCUAAGUCGAACGUGAAAUCCCCGGGCUCAACCCGGGAACUGCGUCCGAUACUGGAAGGCUUGAAUCCGGGAGAGGGAUGUGGAAUUCCAGGUGUAGCGGUGAAAUGCGUAGAUAUCUGGAGGAACACCGGUGGCGAAGGCGACAUCCUGGACCGGUAUUGACGCUGAGGCGCGAAAGCCAGGGGAGCAAACGGG
rnacentral:rRNA from 1 species